GGAGUAAAAGUCGUAACAAGGUUUCCGUAGGUGAACCUGCGGAAGGAUCAUUCAUAAUAAGUGUUUUAUGGCACUUUUUUAAACCCAUAUCCACCUUGUGUGCAAUGUCAGGGUUGAUUUUUCUCUCGAGAGGAUCAACCCCAAACAUCAACUAUAUCUCAACUCUUUGUCUGAAAAAUAUUAUGAAUAAAACAAUUCAAAAUACAACUUUCAACAACGGAUCUCUUGGCUCUC
rnacentral:misc_RNA from 1 species